rnacentral:lncRNA from 1 species
AUGACUGUCCUCCAGCCCAGGCUCCUUCAUUCAGCCUGGUUGUUCACGUUGAUGUUCGUACCUCUGCUCUCUGGAACAGGGGCAUUUCUCACUGGUGGGCCUUUGCUCCUGGGGCCUCUUACCUGCACCUUUCCAGACUCAACCGCACUCCCCCUGCCCUCUGAGCACAUCCUGCUUCUCCCCACUGUCCACCCCACUCACUGCUCCCACCGCUGCACUCCCUCCUUAGCCAGUCCCUCUGGGGAGUCGGGGUGUGACCAGUGGCCAGCCCGAGGCCUGGGGCUGGGGGCCGGGAGUGGGGAGGUGUCUGUCAGCGCAGGCGAGCGAGCCUCUGGGAGCAGGAGGAACGCAGCGCUGGAUGGGGGACCCGCCCCAGGCUGGGAGGAAGCAGCCGGGCGUCCAGCCAGCCCUGCGGCCGACCCCUGGGCUAGGUGCUCCUGGUGGGCCCGGCGACCUAGGCUGAGGUCCGCGUCCUUGAAGGCGGAGAAGGUGGGCCUCCGCCGUGUGCGGUUCCACGUUCCGGCCCAGCGCUCGGCAGGACGCCGGCACCGCGCAGGCACGCGUUCAGAGGACGCAAGGAGGCAGGGCCGAGAGCCGGAAGGGCGCAGAGCCCCGACACGAGCUACAGCAAGCCUCCCAGGCUCUCUCGACAGGGGCGCCUGCCCCGACCUCCGCCCCAACCCUGCAGCUCCCUGCGCGAACCUCUCGGCUUCUCGGACCACACAGGCCGCCCGCCCCUCCGCCCCUUUGCUCCCUGCCCGAGCCGGCCGACUCAGCAGCGCCACCCGCUCCGGCAGCCACCUGGCCCGGGGCACCCCACCCCUCUGCGGACCCAGCCUGGCAGCCUCGCCUCCAUCGUCCCCCCUACCCCUACCCCGCCCCGGGCCAACCAAGUCACCCUCCUGGGGCCGGCAGGUCCACCCCCCGCGUGCGGGGAUCCCCUACUGCGGUGGCCAGGCGGUGGGCCCGGCGGGCCCGCGCACCCGCCCGUGGCGCCCGGCCUCGCCAGGAAUGCGCGCGGGGCCGGGGGCGGGCGCUGGAGCGGGGCCGGGGCCGGGCCCGCCGCGACACGCUCGGGGACGCCGCGCACAAAGGCGCUGUCUGCCGCCGCCCCGUCCGGCCGGGUCCCGACGCCCCCUGCCCCGGAGCCGGGCGGGCGGUGGGGGGGUCAGGUCCGGUCCUCCCGCCCCACCCCCACCCCCACCCCGACUCCCACGCGGGCCCCGUGCCCUGCGCGCGCAGGCGCGGGCUUGUCCUACGGCAGCGCUGGAAUCCGCGGGCCCGGGCGCCCCGGCCGCUGUGCGGGGAUGGGGUGCGGGGCACGUGGAAGGCCCCACACUGUCCGUGGGCCCCGCCGCACCAUCUUUCCGCCUCGGGCCGAGGCUUUGCUCAGGAGUGCGUUUCUGCACCUCAGGGACCUCCCCGCGACGCUUCUUCCAGGAAGCGUCCUGGGCUGCUCGGGUCCGCUGGCGGCCUCCCCCUCCUCCCCUUUUUGUGCGGACCCUGAGGACCCAGCCCGGCCCGGUCCCUCUCCCGUGUCCUCAGAGGGAGGCCCGCCAUUGGGAAGGACACCCCAGGUCUCUGGCAGUUGUCUGGCCAGGCAGGGUUGGCGGGAAGGAUUGUGGGGGUGCAGAGGGUACCCCCACACCAGGUGGGCAGGAGAGCAGAACCCGGAGCCAUGGGACUGGUGCUCGAAGGCUCCUCGAGGGCCAGGCGGCUGUGGCUCAGGGCCCGAGUCCUCCCGUCCUCAGGUGA